GUAUGUUUGCUUGUUGUGUAUUAAUUUAAUUUCAAAAUAUGCGUGUUACCAUCUUUAGGCAAAAGCACGUGUAGGGUCUCAAGUUCUUGUAACAGGUUACCUCAGUAUUUUUUUUUGCUAUUGAGCGUUAGUAAUUUUAUUUCAUUUUCCCAAAUAGUUACUAAUGUAUUCAUGGAAGCGUGAUGUAUGAAAGAUUAUUUACGAAAGCGUAUCGACAAGUGCUUAGCUCUGCGGAUUUUAUUUCAUUAAGAUGACCUAAAAUCCUUGACCACGCGCCGGGGUAUUGUAACGUAAAUACGUUACGUAACCUAGGUUACAUAUAUAUUAAGAAGUUUUAUUGAUUCAUAGCUAACUUACAUUCCAAUAUAAACGUAAUUAAUUCAUAAGAAACACUUACCUGCUUAUACUAGAUACGAAUAAUUAAAAGCGAUACAUUCAAAUCGUAAUAUUUAAGUUAUAAUUGCAUCCUGAUCCUGACCUAUGCAUUGCGCACUUUACCUUGCGCGACAUUCCUUCGUUGUAAAACCGGCCGGUGGCGCUCCCCGCCCCGCGCCUUACUCCACCGCUCCCGCGCGGCUUCACAGCUCGGGGCAGACAGAUUGAGACAUCGGCGCCGGCGCACGUUCGCUUUGCUCAAAGCUCGCGACUAUACAUGUAGCCGGCGUGAUUUUAAAUUUAUUUAAUUCCUAAUACGUCUUAGUGCUCGUUUAGUACCAAGUAACGUUUGUAUUUAGUGUUUAAAUCCCCAAUUGGGGAGCCAUAUUACGGCUGGAACUACAGCCCAGGCCGGGUUACGACGGUUCCGGAACCUCUACACAAGUUCCGGCAGAUCCGGAGCGGAGCGGCUGACGUCCCUCGGCGCGUUCCGUCUUCAGCCCGCAACGACACCAGCAGCUUCAGGGGAGUACUUGCGUGGUGGACCUGACCUCGGAGCAAAAUCAGUAUCGGCCUUACGAACCCACACCUAACGACCUUUGUUCGUGUGCUCACGCGGAGUUACGGCGAGAAUAAACCAGUUCUUUAUUUUAA